UCCUCAUCUGGUCUGAGCAAGUAGGUAAAAGCAGGGAAGCAUACACCCUUUUUAUUUGCAGGAGGCUCCUCAUCUGGUCUCAGCAAGUAGGUAAAAGCAGGGAAGCAUACACCUUGGUUGUUAUUAAGAAGCAGCACGAUCAGAUCAGAAGCUUUGGGAAGGAGGGAGGGAGGUGUCCGUGGUAUCGAUGUAAACUAAGUCUUUUGUUCCCAACAGAUAGCCAUGGUGAUUGUGACAGAGGAUGCUCUAGAUUGCAACAAUUAUCAUAUCGGUUAAUCCUAGGCCUGGCUACGCGCCGGACAUGUAAAAAAACGAAUGUCAUAUCUGACCAUCAAUCUAAUUCUAGGGAUAAAACAGAACGCUUCCUAACGUGGCUGAAAGUCA
rnacentral:lncRNA from 1 species